rnacentral:rRNA from 1 species
AUUGAACGCUGGCGGCAGGCCUAACACAUGCAAGUCGAACGAGUGGCGGACGGGUGAGUAAUGUCUGGGGAACUGCCCGAUGGAGGGGGAUAACUACUGGAAACGGUAGCUAAUACCGCAUACUAUCGGAUGAACCCAUAUGGGAUUAGCUAGUAGGGGGGGUAAAGGCUCACCUAGGCGACGCUCUCUAGCUGGUCUGAGAGGAUGAACAGCCACACUGGGACUGAGACACGGCCCAGACUCCUACGGGAGGCAGCAGUGGUGAAUAUUGCACAAUGGGCGCAAGCCUGAUGCAGCCAUGCCGCGUGUAUGAAGAAGGCCUUCGGGUUGUAAAGUACUUUCAGCGGGGAGGCGUUACCCGCAGAAGAAGCACCGGCUAACUCCGUGCCAGCAGCCGCGGUAAUAC